GACGAACCGUGCGAACGUUAUUCGGAAUCACUGGGCUUAAAGCGCGUGUAGGCGGGGCGGCACGUCGGUCGCUGAAAUCCCCCGGCUUAACCGGGGAACGGGCGCCGAUACGACCGCCCUGGAGGGACGUAGGGGGACCUGGAACUUCCGGUGGAGCGGUGAAAUGCGUUGAGAUCGGAAGGAACGCCCGUGGCGAAGGCGGCGAUCUGGGUCGAUACUGACGCUGAGGUGCGAAAGCGUGGGGAGCAAACAGG
rnacentral:rRNA from 1 species